UCUGCAAUCUGUGUAUGGGGUGAAGGUGGGAGUUCAUAACCCACUUGAAUCAAAUUGUGGAAUAUGAUAUGUCAAGAAAUUUGUAAUGUUUUGAACAACCCACAAUAAAAAAUUAAAAAUAAAAAAAAUAAAUUUGUAAGUGUGGCAUAACACUCUAGCAAUGUGUUUUUAGCUUUGUGUGCUAAUAAUACAUCAUCCAUAUAGUGAAAUAUUUGUAGUUCAGGAUUUUGAUUUCUACGUGGCUGGAUUACUUUGUUAUCAUAAAUUUGACACAUAGUUGGGCUGUUAGCCAUCCCUUGAGGGAGUACUUUCCAUUCAUAUCUCUGAUCAGGACCUUCAUCAUGCAGUGCAGGGAUAGUAAAUGCAAAACCUGGACUAUCCUCAGGAUGAAUUGGAAUUGAAAAAUAACAAUCUUUAAUAUCUAUAACUAAAACAUACCAAGUUUUUGGCAAAGCAGACAAUUGAGGAAUCCCUGAUUGAGCAGGUCCCAUAAUAACCAUCUCAUUAUUAAUGGCUCUUAAAUCUUGCAGUAAUCUCCAUUUACCAGAUUUCUUUUUGAUGACAAAAAUGGGAGUAUUAUGGGGAAAUAUGGAACGUUGUAUAUGUCCUUCUGCUAAUUGUUGUUUGACCAGGUCAUUGGCUGCUUGUAUCUUUUCUUUAGUCAGGGGCCACUGAGGAACCCAUACUGGUCUUUCUGAGUUCCAAGUAAUUUUUAUUGUCUCAGUGGCCUUUUCUGAAAAUCCAACCCAUGUCUGUCUGUUCCUUGAUCUAUUUGUAUUGGUGCUGCUAUACCUUGUUCUUGUUUCUCUAAUCUUUUUCCUUUCCUAAAACCUUGUCUAGUCAUAAUAGUGGGUGCAUUUUGGUUGAUGUUAUUUGUUAAUCUCAAACUUAAUUGAUCUAUGAUACCUCGUCCCCAUAAAUUUCCGGGAAGAUGAUCCAAUACAUAUGGCUGUAUAGUUCCUUCACAUCCUUCAGGAUCCUUCGAAUCUAAUACCAUUGCACUUCUAUGGGGAUUAGUCGCCACUCCUAGGCCUCGAAGCAUUUGAGUGGCUUGUUGUAAUGGCCAAUGUUUUGGCCAUUCUUGACGAGAGAUGAUGCUAAGUUCUGCACCUGUAUCCAGUAGCCCAUUAAAUUCAUGUCCUUGAAUAUUUAGUUUUACCAUGGGGCAAGAAUCUAAAUUUAAAGAAAUCAUAGCCCAAUCUAAACCUGUGGAGCCUAAUCCCUUGGAACCUCUUUCUACAGCACGACUGGAAAAUUUAUCAUGUAGGCUUGGUAUUAUUAGUAACUGUGCUAUUCUAUCUCCUGGUGAAAUUACUGAAAUACCCUUUGGAGAACUGGCUAUAAUUUUUAUUUCACCUUCAUAAUCAGGAUCAAUUACCCCAGGACUUAUCAUAAGUCCUUUUAGAGUAGAAGAGCUGUGUCCCAAUAAUAAGCCUACUGUUCUUUGGGAAAAGGUCCUUUUACCCCUGUGGGAAUGAUUCGAAUUCCCAUCUCUGGAGUUAGUACUGAUCUGGUGGAUGCGCAGAUGUCCAACCCUGCGCUCCCUCUGGUUUUUCUGAUGAGGGAUCUGAUGGACAAUGUGUCCUGGGUGCUACCCUGAUAGGGUUGCUGGGUUCCUCCAGUGCUCCGUAUAUUUGUGGCUUUAGGCCCUGUAGCAUUGGGCCCCCCUGUCCAUUUUUGGCAAUGGAGUCUGAUGCCUUUCUCCAUGAUAUAGUGGAUAAACACCUGGUCCUUGUUCGUUUUUUGAUAAUGGAGUACCCUCUAUGGUGGUUUGAGAACGGCAUUCAUUAGCCCAAUGUCUCCCUCUACGGCAUCGUGGGCAAAUACCCGGUAUUGUACUCCUUUGAUACCUAGUUUUGUUAAACCCUCCUCCUAUGGGGCAAUUCCUUUUAAAAUGUCCUGUUGUUCACAAUUGUAGCAUGAUCUUGGCCUGGCAUCUGAAGCCUAUUUUACUGCAGCUGCCACAAUUUGCCCUUGUUCAUUAAUGUCUCUGGAAUCUAAAGCCUGAUUUACUGCAGCUGCCACGACUUGCUCUUGUUCAUUAAUGUCUCUACAUAAUUUAAUAUAUGUGUUUAAAUCUUCAUGUUUCCAUGGUCUAAUGAUAUCUCUGCACCAACGAUUCACUUGGUCAUAAGCCAGUUGUUUUAUUAAUGGCAUUGCUUGUUCUGUAUUCCCAAAAACUCUGGUAGCUGUUUGAAUAAGCCUAUCUACAAAUUCAGCAUAAGGUUCAUUAGCUUCUUGUAUUACCUUAGAUAGUUGACCUUUGUAAACCUCCAUGCCCUUGUAAAGUCUUCCAUGCCCUAACCGCCUCUACAGCAAUUUGUGCGUAUACCCCAGGAUCAUAUGCAAUUUGUUGCUGCUUAUCCUCUUAAGGUCCCUUUCCUAACAACAUAUCUAGAUUUCUCUGAGGAUAACCAGCUGCUGCAUUUUGCCUAGCUGUCUCCUUGCAAAAUUCCUAAUUGGCAACCUUCCAUAACAGGUAUUGACCUCCAUUUAGCACAGCUUUACACAUAUUAGCCCAAUCUGCUGGCGUCAUGUUCAAGUUGUUAAUGGAUUCGACCAAGCUUACAGUGAAGGGUGCUUGAGGACCAUAGGUUGUUACAGCCUCUUUUAGCUGCUUCACUAUUUUGAAAUUUAAAACAUGGUGAAUUCGCUGCCCUCCUACCUCAAAUACAGGGCAUGUUAAUACUUGAGAUCCUGUCUCAGGAUCCGAACUAUCAACUGCAGGGGUUGGGGGCCUCCCAGCAUAUGGAGGUGGCCUUGUUAGUUGGACAUUUACGUCCUCUGGUGAUAGAAAGGUGUUAGUAGCAGUCUCCUGUAGAGGUGGUGCUGUUGGUUGGACACUUACGCCCUCUUGUGAUAGAAAGUUGUUAGUAGCAGUCUCCUUUUGUAACUUUACUCCUGAUGGCUUUUUCUGCUCUAAGCUUUCUUCCUCUAUCUUUGUCUGAACUGAAGGAUUUGGACUAAGCAAAUAAGAAACAAAUGUCCACAAUGGCAAUGUGCCAACUGGCAGAGUCCCUGGGCUGUUCUUUUCCAUUCUUUUUAAAUCUUCACCAUGAUGGUUCCAUUGUGAUGUAUUUAACAACUCCUCCUUAAAAAGCCAUGGGCUACAUUUUUGUAUUGUAUCAAUGUAUGCCCUGACUGUUGUUGAUUUUACUGAGAUGCCUCCUUCCUCUAACAAUUUACUUAACACUCUUUCAGUUUGUUUUUUACUAAUUUCUGAUCCCAUAUUUCUACUAUAAUACAACCCAACAAGAUGACCCCAAACAAAACCGAGACAAAAUGAAAUAAAAAGGGAACAACAAAAAGUCAUUAUAGCCUUUCUAUCCUCCUGACAUGUGCAUCCGUCCUUUCUCCCUAUCUGUUCCUCAGACGUAAAUGGUUUUUCCUCAGAUGUGAGUGGUUUUUCUUCCAUCUCACUCAUCUCCAGGGACAGGCAACUUAAAACAAAAGUGAAGCAAAACAAAAGAGGAAUCUUAAAAUGGCUGCCCAUCCUCUCGCCCUGCCCUCAGGGGCAAGCAGUUUACCUUAUCACUUACCCUCAGUUGCUCCCCGUGCGAGCCACCAAAUGCCGCAGUCUGGCUGAGCACAAUUCAGGAGCCACUUGUCAAAAGAAACGAACUUUAUUUUAAGAACAACACACGCCAAACAAAACCACUCCUCAGGAAAAACCCUCAGAGCCCAACUGCCACCACUGGCUUCCCACAAGCCUCUCUCUCAACCACAAGCCUCUCCACCUCCCACAAUCCUCCUGCUCUUGAGGCCGAUUGGCUGGGUCACGUGGGCGGAGCGAAAAAAGACUCCAAUGAGCAGCUCCGUGGUCUGAAAGGGCAGGGAAACAGCCCAAUGAGCAUCACCGCAGAGGAGCCAAUCAGCUAGAUGUUGCUGGGGCUGCUGUGAGCCAAUCAUCAGCUGGCAGUCUGAAAGGGCAGGGAAACAGCCCAAUGAGCAUCACUGCAGAGGAGCCAAUCAGCUAGAUGUUGCUGGGGUGCUGUGAGCCAAUCAUCAGCUGGCAGUCUGAAAGUUUGCUGGGGCCCCUUAAGCUGUGGCUCUCAACAAUCCCCAGCUGUAUUUUUAGAAAACUUAAGGGUGGCCCUGCAUUGGAUAUCUAAAAGUAUGAGUAACUGGGCAGAAAACAAUCACUUCACUGAUGUUUAACCUGGUGACCAUUUUGAGAAAUGCUUAUUAAAAUAUGUUACAAAUGUCUGGUGUAUAGUGUUUUGAUAUGAAGUGUCCUCUAAAAGUUUAUGUGUGUGACAAUGCAAGAAUGUUCAGAGGUGAAAUGAUUAGAUCAUGAGAACUAUAACCUAAUCAGUGGAUUAAUCCACUGAUAUGUAUUGACUGCAUAGUAACAAUAAGCACUCUAUUCUUUUAGAAAGCACCCUCUUCUUUAUGAUUGCUUUCCUCCUCCAUGCCCUUCCACCGUGAUGUUCUGCCUCACAUUGUGCCCAGAUGUCUAUGGACUGAGACCUCUGAAACUAUAAGCCAAAUACACUUUUCAUCCUCUCAUUGUUCUUGCCAGAUCUUUGGUCAUAAGAAGAGAAAAGCUAACUAAAAUUAUAUACACACACAUAUAGAAUGUGGUGUGUGUGUGUGUGUGUGUGUGUGUAUUUAUAUAUGGUUUAGUUUUUUUGAGAGGCUGUGAAUCAAACCUAGGUCCUUGCACAUGCUAAACAUGUGCUUUGCCCCUGAGCCACAUCUCCAUCUCUGAGCUUGUAGGUUUUCAUAUGUAAAGAAAUCUGAACCCAGACUACCUGUGGGAACAUAAGAGCAGUUAAUAAGAAACACACACACACACACACAAACACACACACACACACACACGAACACAGAACUGUUCUUUAUUGUGGCUAUGAUCUAGCACUUAUUCUAGUACCUUAUAUUAUUUCUUUUUUGUCGUUUUAUAUUUUAUUUUUGAAGAGCUUAUCAGACCAAAAAAUCAAGGAGGAAAAAGCCUCUUCUUGGAUUCAGCAUUGUGCUUCAGGGGCCCAAGUGAUUCACUGCAAUGACACUUUUCCCUUCUGGACAGUAAUAGUGAGGUGGAAGCAGGGGAUGCCAAUAUGGAUGUGACAGCAGUUCACGAUGCUGUUUGUCAUCUCUGCUUCAGACCCUCUCUCUUCUCAGAAGUGAAUAACAUAUUCUUAGUAUAUACUUAGUGACAGUGACAAACAAACAUUCCUGCUAAUUAUGUCUUAUUAAAGUAGCACCAGAACAAGUGAAGUUACAGUAAUUCUGCUGCUUCACUUAUUGAAUGGCAUAUGUUCAUUAAAGGGUUCAAAAUGUCACGUCCCAAUCUUGGGACUGGGGUGUAGCUCAGUGGAAAAAUGUUAGUCUAGCAUGCCUGAGACCCAGGUUUGAUCCCUAGAAGCUAAAAAUUAAUCCUAAUCUUAAAUAUUUUGCUAUAAUUUCUAUUUUCCUGUUAGCUAGAAUGUCUGGAAUUUAGCUGCAUUUAGUGUCACUAGGAGACCAGUACAUGGUUUCAUUUAAUAAGUAAAAUGAUUAUUUUGUAACUGGUAGACAUCAUUUUCACUUAUUUCAUUGUGAAUGAUAAAACAGGAUGUACUUACUUUGUAUUUUCUUUUUCAUUUCCUAUUUUGUUUUUCAAUUCCACAUAUACUUGAUAUAAUGAAUCUAGAGUGCCACUAUGUACUUUAUAUUGAACCCUUUCUAAGGGAUGUUUUAAAGAUCCUGUUGUAUAGUAUUCUUUGAUAAGAAAUUAUAGUAAAAGUAAUACUUUUGUGACCCCCUUCAAACAAUUAUCUCCUGUUUCCCAAACUCUUUUAAGUACUAAACUUUAUAUUCUUAGCACCCCCAAAAGACCCUGGUUUGUUAGGCCACCUCUCUGGAGUAGGUAUUGCUUAAUUACUUUUGCUUAUUGACUUUGACCAGAGGAGUUUUUUAAACUCUGCUGUUAGGAAGAAAACAUAAAGGCUAUUUGAAAGUGACACAGCAGAAUGAGAACCAUAAACAGUAUCUUACUCGUUUAUCUCAAAGGAGUAACUAGGGCAACAAGAGAAUGAGGAACAUAAGAAAAAUAGGUCUUACUUGCUGUCCAUUUGCAACCUGGUGUGUACCAGAGUAGAGGCUUUCAAAUAAAGUAAAGUAAGUCCCACUGAGACACACAAUAGCUAGUUUCCUGUUUUCAGGAUCAAUAGUUAGAAAAUGCCAAAGCUGGGAUCUGAGUCAACUCUGCUCAGACUAGUGCACUACAAUACCUCCACUUCAGGAGAUGUCUGUAUGAUGUACAAUCACAUUUUUGUACUAAUAUUUUGUAUCGUUUUUGGUCAGGGUUGGAUUUGUGUUUUUGUUUAACUGACUCUGGUCUAGGGUUAUGUUCAGUGUGUCUUAAACCAUUCUUGUCUGGUGCUGUCUUUUAUGGGGCUGCUCUGUUCUCUAUAUCAGGGUCUUUAUAACUAAUUCCAAAAAUCAUCAGUCUAUUUAUUAGUCCACAGUGACUUGAAAUCCAGGUUAUAAAUAUGCUGCUUACUGUCUUGUUGAAAGGAUGCAGCCCUCCUGCACUUUCUUCCUGUAACCUGAAGGCCUGCAGGUAUUCAGCACUCUGGGAGUAAUAUCACUGAGGGCUUUCAGGUCCUGAAUUUCUGUUUCUGAGCUCUUUUCUUGCUGUCUUUGUGGUCAACAUUCUCUUGCUUGAGGGGCUGGGGAGAUUUUUUGAAGGGACAUGCACUCCUGAACACUGGGUCAGAGCUGAAAACAAAUAGUUGUCAUACUUCUUACGAAGUAUCACGGGAAGUAUGCACUCAAAUCCCUUGUCUGGGUAAUAACAGUUCUGGUUUCUAUGCUGGAAUCAUUUUAUGUCCAAGAUUAGUGUCAAUGUUGGUUUUAAAAUAUGCAUGCCAUCCAAACUGGUUGUCUAAAAUUUUUCAAUUGAAAGUGUUUUUCUUAACUAAAUAUUUCAGCAUUUCCCCUCACAUAGACAACAAAAAAUGAGAAACUGAAACUUAUUAUGAAAAUAAACAUGUAGACAUCAUCUGAAAAAUCAAGAUUAAAUUCAAACCGAUACAGUGAAUUAUACUUUGCUUUUUUGACAGAUCUCCAAAAAUGCAUUUUGACACAUUUUGUCAGUAUAUUCCAAUUUACUAAAUAUAAUUCAAUUUAACAAUUUUUUUAAGACUGCCUGCUAUCUGCUUUGUCCUGAGCUGGAAAGCAGCAUAUGUAAAAUACAUAUAAAAUUAUUUCCCCAUUGAAAGAUUUCACAAUCUAAUUCACAUUGAUACAUGAGCAUAUUCACAUUCAUACAUGAGCGUAUUCUCGUUAGUAUGCAUGUGUGUGCAUGUGGAACAAUUAGAUAAAAUUUGUGUGUGUCAAAAUAAGAUAUUUAGACACAAAGUAUAAUGGGAAGUGACAAUAUUGAUAGCAUUUUUAGCAGUUUCUUCAAUGUAUUGGUGUUUUUCAGACUCUUUCAUAUUAGCAGUGAGGCUUUCACUUAGUUUGGAAAAAAAAUAAUAUCCUCAACAAAACAAUUUUAAACCUAUAGCUUUUUGGGUAUCUACUAUUAUUGCUUUCUUUCUCAUGUAAUAAAGGGGCAACAUGUUCCUUUAUCCUGUUCUUAUUCUGUAGUCACUGAGCUACUUUUUAAUUCCCACUGUUCUUCCUGUCUUCCUGACAGUUGCAUCUCAUUUCUUAUUUUGGUUUUCCUGACUAUAUUCCAAAAGCCCGACCUAAAGUCAAGUUAAUCAGUUUCCUGGGAAAUACAGUUUCUUUCUUAUUUUUGUCACCUGGUUCUCAGGCUUCAGGCUUAAGUUUUAAAUCACUAAUAUUUUGUAUAAUUUCAUCAUGUCCCCACUUAAGUUUUUUUUUUUUCUUUCAAAAUACGUCUUUGCAUGUUAUAAUGUUAGAAUUGUCAGCUGCCAACGUCACCAAAAUACAUUUCUUAAAAAUAUAUGUGGGGGGCUGGGGAUGUGGCUCAAGUCGUAGCGCGUUCGCCUGGCAUGUGUGCGGCACUUGGUUCGAUCCUCAGCACCACAUACAAAUAAAGAUGUUGUGUCUGUCGAAAACUAAAAAGUAAAUAUUUAAAAAUUCUCUCUCUCUCUCUCUCUCUCUCUCUCUCUCUCUCUCUCUCUCUCUCUUUAAAACAACAACAACAACAAAAAGCAUAUGUGGGGAAAGUUGAUGCAACUCUACAAAUAUAAUAUUCAGAAUGUGUGAUAUAAUAAAAACUGAAACUACAUCCUUAGCUGAAAAUUGUUGCUUUUGUGAUGAAGUCACAAAAAUUUAUCUUAUGCUAUAUUUAGUGCUUUUGAAAAGAGUAUACUUUGGAAAAAGAAUCUGAAAAUAUGCCUAGCUGGAGUAAUGGAAAAGGAGUGUGGUACAUCAUGAAUCAAUAUAAGUUUAUGUUUGAGGAAAGCAAAAUUACCAGCACAGACAAUGAAAUGUUUCAAGCACUGUAAAAUGCAUUAAGUUCCAGGAACCAGACAGUUUUGUGUAAAAUACCCUUCAGAUUCAUUUUCCUCAUGAUAAUAAACAAUGUAAAAAUGUACUAAAAUAUAGAAAAAUUAUAUUCAGAGAAGCAUAUUAAGUCAGAGAAAUGAUAGCAUCAUAAUUGUUUCCAUGAAAAUAUUCUUGGAAAAGUAAACUUGAUACAACUAGUAUGAGGCUUAAAACAGCAUAUCCAGCUAUCAGUGGCCAAUGAGAAACAACUGAAAACUUGCAUCAAAACAUUUGGAAAAAGUCUCCUAAUAAAGGUCCUAAAAGCAAACACUGAAAUCACUCUGGCAUACUUGAUUAAGAUGAGAAAUCAUAUUGUGUGACUGCUGACUGUCCAUGUAUCCUCCAUACCUCUGCUCCAGGUAAACCCCUCAAAAAAGCCUAGAGGCUUCAAUUCUUCCAUGAGGCCUGAUCUUAUACUUUAACUUAGGUUCCUUCAUGGAUUGUUCUGAGAAUUGAGUUUACAUUUUUAAAGUGCUUGAAGCAGUAAGCAAAUACUUAAACAUUGUCUAUUUUUAUGUUUUAAUAUAUCUUCCAAUUCACUGAUUGUUUCUCCAGCAUCAUUAAAUGUGUUGUUAAACUCAUUGUCUGUUUUAGACUUCAAUUAUUGAAUUUUUAAUUAGGAAACUUUAUUUUAAAAUUUAUUUCUUUUGUUAUUUGUUUUUUGUUAUAUUUUAAAAACAAAACAACUUAGAUAUUUAAACACAAUCAUUUUAUAUUCUAUGUUCACAAAAGUCCUCAAGUCUAAGAUCACUUGAAUUUAAACUCUUGACUUGAAUUUUUCUAUAUCAGCUGGAUGAAAGGAUUUAGGCUGGGAAUCUGCACAAUGACUACAUAAAUAACUCUGAUUGAGAAUUUUCAAGAAAAACUUCUUUACAUUCCUUUGUACCCAAUGGCAAAUGUUCAAGAUGUGAAUUAACUUGGGUUUACUCAAUUGAUUUUUAAAACAGUUAAUAGAGAUAUGAGAAGAAAUAUGCAUUUUUACUAUUUUUUGAAAUUUCAUAAUUAUAUUUACUUGUGCUCUUAUUUUUUGUUGAUUUCAAUUGUUCUGGUGGUAUUUGCUUUUAGCAUGAAUGAACCCCUUUAGUACUUCCUGUCAGUAUAGUCUGCUAUCAUCAAAUUACCUGUUUUUUUUUACCCCAAUAGGUCUAUAUUUUGCUUUUAUUUUUGAAAUAUAGAUUUGUUGGAUAUAUGAUUCUUGGUUGACAAUUUUUUUUCUUGUAACUCUUGGAUAUUAGCCAUUUAGCCUGCAUUGUUUCUAAAGAGAAAUCAGCUGUUUUUCUUAUUAAGUUUCUCUUGUAUGUGAUGAUUUGUUUUUCUUUUGCUUAUUUCAAGAUUUUUCUCUUUGUCUUUGGCUCUCAUCAUUUGUCCUUUUUGAGGUCCAUUUAGUUUUGGGAUGAGUAGAUUAAUGUUUUUAGAUAAAAGUUUUAGGCAUUCUUUCUGUGAGUAUUUUUUAUCCUCUUUCUAGUGCUUACAUUAUAUAUGUGUUGGUGUCCUUAAGUUCUCAUAUUUCUCUAAAUGUGUUUACUUUUUUAUUCUUUUUUUAUUUAGAUUGCAUAAUUUCUACCUAUCUAUUUUCAUGCUAAUUCCUCUCCUUUUAGUUCAACUCUUCUUUAAGCAUUUCUCAUGGAUUGUCCAUUUCAGCUAUUAUACUUUUCAACUCCAGAAUCUCUAUUUCUUCUUCCUCUUUUUUCUUAAACUUUUUGCCUCUUUAUUGAUAUUCUUCAUUUGAUGUGAUCUUGUCUUUAUUGAUUCCUUUACUUAUUUAAUCAUACUUUCCUUCAGUUCUUUGAAGAUAAAAUGACUUCCUUUAAGAAGUCAUUAUCUAUUUGAUUCAACAUCUCGUCACUCUCACAGAUAAUUUCUAUUGCCUGAUUUUCUCACCAAUAUAUAGAUUAUGCUUUUGUGUUUUUCUGCAUGUCUCACACUUUUUGUUGGAACCUGGGUAUUUUAUAUAAUGUGCUAUAGAAACGUGGCUCUGGCCACCCUGUUAUAAGGCUUAUUAUUAUUUUUCUCUAAUUUAUUCUUUUAAUAAGUGACUAUAAUAAUAUUAAAAUCUAUUCCUUGAACACAGUGCAAAGUUUCCCAUGUUGUUCUUCAAUGCCUCAGGCUUGGGUAUGUCCACAAUCAGUCUGGGAUGAUAGAGUUUUGUUGGUUCUAUUAUUUUAAAAAAUGCCCUGGGGCAUAGAUUGUUCCUUAGACUUUGCUAAACAAAUAUUGUCACUAUUGAAGAAAUAGUUUCUAAGUUCAGUAUUAGAAAGUUUGGUUUUAAAUUUUAAUUUAAUUUAAUUUUUAUUAUUUUUAACUUCAGGAGGGCUCCUCUGAGCUGUCUCUUUCUUUGGUUCUUUUAGACAAACUAGCUGGUUAACAGUAUAUCCUUUAUAUUCAAUGAAUCUGCCAAUCUUCUUCUAAUUGGUUUUUACCAUAACGUCUGGGGGUGCCCACAGGAGGCUUGAAUUUUUCCACACUCUUCUGCAAAUGAAGUCUGUUUCUUUGAGAAGAGGUUAAAAUCUAUCUGUGGAAGGCUAUUUCUUUGAGGAGAGUUUAGGAGUUAUAUUUUUUACUGUCUGCUCUCUUCUUAGGCAAUAGAAAUUGUCUGUGAGAGUGAUCAGAUUUUUAAUUGAAUUGACAAAGUCUUAAAGAAAGUCAUUAUGAAUAUCUUCAAAGAACUAAAGGAAAGUAUGACUAAGUAAGUAAAGGAAUCAAAUGACAAGAUCACAUCAAAUAAAGAAUAUCAAUAAAGAGGCAGAAAAUUUAAGAAACAAGAGGAAGAGGAGAUAGAGAUUCUGGAGUUGAAAAGUAUAAUAGCUGAAAUGGACAAUUCAUGAGAAGUGCUCAAAGAAGAGUUGAACUAAAAGUAAAGAAUUAGCAUAAAGAUAGAUAGGUAGAAAUUAUGCGAUCUAAAGAAAAACGAAUGAAAAAAGGAAAUUCAUUUAGACUUUUCAGAGUCUUCUGAACAAUAACUCUAAAAAUACAGUUUCUAUCUCUAGAAGUGAUACUGUCUUGCUUCUCUCUUGGGCUAGUUAAUAGUGGCACAAUGGAAAAGGCAAUAUAAGAAUGCAGCAGCUCCUCUGGGGACCAUGAAUUGGGAUCAGGCAAAAUGAAUUAGAGGAUUUGGGGUAUAUUCUAUAGCACUUGUCCAUGAUAAGCUUGUUGAGAAAAACAAAACACAACUCACUCUAUAUAGGCCAGUGCUAGGUUAGUUAUGUUUUCCUGCUCUUGGUUUUGGUGAAACAUAAGCAUCCAUACACUUGCUGUGAUACUAUAAAGUAGCACUUACUUUAUGUACUGAAGUCUGGAAUAAAUUAUAUUUUUAGAGUUAAGGCACACAAACAUUUAUUUUCUUAUAUUAUGAUUUCCACUCAGUAGUGUUCCACCCCUAUAAAAUUGACAACUCCCCCCAUCCAAUGAAACUUGGGUAAAUGGAUUAAAAUGCUGUCUAGCCACACUAAGAAUUUAUAAUUUUGUUCCAUCACAAUAUAGGUUUUAUGUACUAACAAUUAUGUGUAUGAGAAACCCCUAAUACUUCAAUCCCUUGUUCCAGUAUUCUGUGACCUUUCUCACUCCAUCCUCUAAAAUCUUGUUCCUUUUACUUUAGGAAAUGUUAAAUGAUUCUUUGAUUCAGAAUUGAUUUGCUCUGGUAAUCAUUCUACCAUUUCACUGGGGUUAAGUGAGUAGAAAGAUUAUAAUGAUUCCUAAAAAUGAAAAUGAAAAAAAUAAAUUGCUUGUGACUAAGAAGGAAAAAAUUGAAAAACAAUGGCUUUUGCGUAGAUGACUUAGGCAAAGGGGAAAUGCCAAUUAUCCUAUGUUGAAAGAUUACACACAAUAGUUUUAAAAGCUUUCUAUUUGCAUAAUCAUUUUGCAUUAGUGUCGGAUUGUUUAUCUCUCUUUACAUGUUCACAUUGAUAAAUUACAAAUUAUAAUUCCCAUGAUAGUGACACACAUAAAAUAUUCUCUUUCCUUCAUGUAAACACACUGUUGUAUGACUUCUUAAAAGGCGAGGAGGGUUAUUUAGAUCAUAUUGCACUUUUGAUUUUUAAUUGGAGAUAUUGCUCAUGUUUUUCUUCCAUUAUGUUUUCUUUGAGAAAAUCAAGGUGCUGUUUGGCAUACAGCAAUAUUGAAAUUAAAAAGUUAAAAAUAUCUAGUAAUUUAGAAAAAGAGCAGAAUAAAGCUCAUAUUCUUUAUGUUUUAAAUGUUUUGAGAUAUUUUUUUCAAAAUCAUAACAAUUCCAAAUAAGACAGGUAUUGUAAUAAUAGCUGAAUUUGAAAAAAGGAAAAACCACUAGCUAGGAUUAUAUUACUACUUUCAUUCUAUCAAGGAGUAUAGCCAGGUAGAAGCCAAAUCUUUUCAAAUGUCAGAUUUAAAUAAGAUUAACCAUAUUUUGUAUGCUUCUAUCACUCCCAGUUUUCAUAUACUGUACUUAUGGGGACACUUCCAGUCAAUAUCCACCUAAAUUUUUUUUAAGAAUUAUCCUCCUAGUUAGAAGUGAUUUUUUAGGAUAUGGAGAAACUUAUAGACUCUCUAAUUAUUAUAUAUCUUUCAUAGGUACUGAGAAGGCAAUGAUAUGGUGAGAGGAGAAGAAGGGCCAACAUAUACUUUUUCUCACUCUUGAUACUUCCGUAUUCAUUCAUUCAUCCAUAAUUAUUAAGCAUCAAUUGUGUUUCAAUGACUAAGGAACAUCCAGGCAAUGCAAUCAUUGUUCUCAUGGAACUCCCAGUUAGUGUGAAAGAAUACUAUGUGAAUCAGUUAUUACACUAUGGCCUGACUAAUGGCAUGAAGUGGAAUGGAAGUACAGAGGGGCAGUACAUAAGAGACCAGAGUGAGGGAGGAUGUUGGAGGGGGUAAGUUACACUUGAACUUAACAAUGAGGAAUGAGUUGUUUUUGAGUUAAAUAAAGAGAAAGGAUAUUUUAGUUAGGAGGAAUCACAUGUGCACAGGUGUGCAAAACUAAGCUCAUUGGGAGUAAUGUGUGUGCCUUUCCAUGACUAGACCUUUGGAUGCCUCUGAAGAGUGGCAGGUGAACCUGGGGAGAAACUCCUGUUAUUUGUGAAAUUACCUCUAUUGUUACAGUCUGACAAAUUACUAACAGAUACACAUCACAAAAUUCCAGGUACCUCAGCUCAUUUCACUGCUUUCCUUGGUAUUUUACUUUCUCUCCCAUGAUUACUGUCAUUUAAUUUUUUUUCAGCUCUGUGUUAAAUCACCAUCUAAUUAUGCAUCAUCACAUCAACUCAUAACAGUUGAGCAUGCCUCACUCUUAAAUUUUAAAAGCAACUCUGUUGGGUCAGGCAUACAAUGAGAGUGUUGUCACUUUUCUUGGCCUUGCUUUACUCUCUGUGUGUUUGGGAUUUUUCUACUCCAUGAUUAUUGUGGAAAUCUGCUCAGAGAGAAUGAGGGGCAGGGUGAGGGAAAGAUCUUUUGUGAUGUAGAUAAGGUGAGGAAUAAGGACUAAAACAGGAAACUGUCCCACAGUUGUUCCAUUGCCAAAGUCAGAUGCCUUUGCCUGUUUUCUUGUUACUAAUGCAUGUAUCUAAUGAAAAGGCAUUUGAGAACUGAUAGGAAGCUGGAGGGUGGAUCUUGAGUUUUAGCUAUUUUAAAUAUGAUCAAAAUGCUUUGCAAUUUGGAUUAAAAUUCUUAAUAUAUUUGUGAGUCAAUUAAUGUCUAUUUUGCCAAUUUUCAAAUGAACACAAUACCACUUAAUGUUUGAGGAUAAUAAUGUCCUAAAUUAUUGUUUGGUCUUCCUGCGUGGAAGGCAUAUAGUUUGACAUGACUUCCCAGGAAAUUUGGCUGUUUUAAAUAUGUAGUUAUGAUUGGAAUUUGAGUCUUAGAAUUGCUCUGUUGGCACUAUCUGGAAACUUCCAGGUGGUAAUUUUCCUGGUGGUAAAUUUAUUAAGUCAUGCAGAAAAGAGUAUGGAUUCCCAUGCUUUCCAUUUGGAAUGGAAAGACUAGGUUGAGUGGGACAUGCAGGUGAGCCAUUCCCCUUGGUUUCUGGGAUAUUCUGGGAACCCCAUAACUUUCUUCUUCACUUUUUAUAUAUUUUUAUUCUGGUACAUCUAUAAAUAUACUGAAGAAUUUCAAUAGGUUCAUUCAUAAUCAUAUUUUUUCCGGCAUCAUCACCAAUCCCCAUUUAUCAGCAUUGUCACAGAAAAGUGGUACAUUUUUAUUUUUAUUUAAUGAAGAAGCAGCUGCUUUAACAGAUGUUUCAUAAAUGUAGAAUGUGCCAUGAACUUCAUCAGCAAAAGAACACCUCAAUGCUCUCUGCAUAUAUAGCAACUAGCAUAAUUACUUUACUAUCUUGACCAUUUCAUUUCUUGAGAUAAAUUUAUUUAUUUAACUCUCCAAAUAAAUAAUCAAUAUAUAAUGGUAGAAUACAAAGGCACAUUUGGUUUCCUUUGAGUUUCAACUUGGGAACAAUUAUGCAAAAAAAAUAAAUAAUAAAUAAAGCACCAUAAUUUCUUGGUGCUUCUACAGACUAACUUAGUAUACAUUGUACAUACUUAAAGAUGAAGAACUGGGAACUCAGAAACUCAGCUAACUAGAAAUGGCAGAGUCAAGAUUCAAACUUCCGCUUUUGUGGCUUUUCUCAUCGCUACCUGCUGUAUCAGCCAGGAAUCAUUCCAUGAAAAUUUCCUGGUGAAUGGCCAAGAUGUGUUCCUUCAUAAUUCUCUGAAGAGAUAUGUGUUCAAGCACUUGAGAAAGUACCUCUUAAUCACGUCAGGGUAUUGACAUUGAUUAAAAAAAAUGGAACUUGAACAAAGGUAACAGAUACAGGCAUUUUAGAUGUCAUGUAUUCUUGGUCAAGUAGUAUCCAGUCAGAACACACUAGGUAAGAGGUCAAUUUUCUGUGAAGGAAAAGGAAACUAUGAUGUGCUGGUGGGGAUAACCAGGUAUGGUUAGAGGGUUCUGCAAUGUUCUAGAAUGACUUUGGUGGCACCACCUGUCCCCAUGUCUAUGAAAACAACUUCCCUCUCUAAGAGGAGUUCAUUAUGCCUAAGGUUAGUCAUUGGUUCUCAUUUCAAAAUCUCCUGAGGUGGGCUGCGGCCUCUGAAGCAAAUAUGCUAGAGGAUGGGAGAUUAGAACAUAGUUUAUGUUUCAAUUUUUGAAACUUCACCAUCUUGUUCCCAGUUGGCUUCACACAAACAACUGUUUUACUCAAACAGUCUCCAGUCUUUUACUUUCUGAAAAGGGAAGUUUUUGUUGAUGUUUCAUUUCAUUCUCUUGAAAUCAAUUAGAGAAGAAACAAAACAUGAUUUUCCCUCAAUGAGCCUUUUUCUUUCCCUGUAAGAGCUGAUUCACAUUUCUGCUGUUGCCAUGAUAAUUCCAUAGAACAAGGUAACUCACUUUUCCCAUUUACUCCUCUCACGUGUACCAUCUUUGGCCAAGUGUCUACUCAGUCAAUUUUCCUCCAAUUAUCUGUUCAUCCAUCCCUUCACUGACUCAUUAAUUCAGUCAGUCAUUGCUUAUCAUUCAACUUUCACUCUAUUUGUAUUUCAUUGAAAUCUUUUAUAAAAACACCCAUAAUUAAAGUGGCCUAUGUUUUUCAUGUGCAUGUAUUUAUUUCUUAUACUAUAAUAAUAAAAAGUAUAUUAUGAAAAAUUUACAAUGUACAAGCUCGUAGAUACCCUGAUGGUGAGAGUAUAAAUUGAUGUACACUCAUAAAAGGCAAUUUGGCAAUGCCUUUCAAAUUUAUAAUACACCUACUUUAUGACCCAGUGAAUCCAUUAGCAGUAACUCAACCUAAAUACAUAUUUACAUGUAUAGGCAAAGACAUGAAUAAAGAUGAAAAUAGAAGUGUCGUUGAGCUACAGGUAACUUAAAACUUUACCAAUAGCAGUCUGAUAAAAAUAGCUUCCUAUGUUCUUUCAAGACUAUUUUUAAGCUCAAGUAUUUCCCUAGUCUUUUUCCUUCAAUAUUAAUUCUGUGUAUUUAUUGAAAUUGACAACAGAUGACUUCUAUUUGUUAAUCAACUCUGCCCUUCCUCUUCUGGUCUAUUCUCCGCCCUCCCCCCACACACCUAUGUUUAAUUCUAGUAGUUUUACAUGGAUUUUUUUAAAAAAAAAAUCAUAUUUUAUUUAUUUAUUAUUAAUUUUAGUUAUACAUGAAAAGUAGAGUAUAUUUUGACAAAUUUAUACAAUCAUGGAGUACAUCUUAUUCUAAUUAAGAUCCCAGUCUUGUGGUUGUAUGUGAUGUGGAGAUUGAAUGUGGUGUAUUCAUAUAUGUACAUAGGAAAGUUAGGUCAGAUUUAUUCCACUUUCUUUCCUAUUCCUGCCCCUCUUCCCUUCAUUCCCCUUUGUCUAAUUCAUUGAAUUUCUAUUCUUCCCCUCCCCUUGUUAUGUGUUAGAAGCUACAACAUAUCAGAUAGAAGCUUCAACAUUUGGCUUUUGGGAUUGGCUUAUUUCACUUAAUAUAAUAGCCUCAGAUCCACCCAUUUACUGGCAAAAGCUAUUCUUAACACAAAUUCAUAUGUUCAUUUAAUAUAUAUAGUAUUGAGCACAUACUAUGUGGCAGAAAAUGUUCGAAGUGUUUCCAGAGAAAAAUAUCUUCCCUCAUAGAGCUACAUUACACAGAGGGAAAUAAAAUAUCCAUACUAAACAUAAUAAAAAAGGAAAUUAUAUAGGACAGCAGACAGAAAGUGAUUUGGAAAAAAAAUGAACUAGACAAAGAUAUUUGGAACACUGGGAAUUGUUAACAUAGAUUUCAUUGAGAAGGCAACAUUUGGACACAGAUUUAAAGGAGAAGAGAGAGUUAUGAAAGGUCAGUGGAGCUGGAUUGAAGAAUGAGGAAAGAGUAAGAGGAGAAAAAGUUAGAAAAAUCACGAAAACUAGAUUAUAUGGGGCCUUAAGGAACAUUCCAAAGAGGUUGGUUCCUACCUGAGGUGGGGAACCUUUGGUGAUUCUGAGAAGAAGAAUGAUAGAAUCUGAUUUAUGUGUUCAAGGGGGGCUGUGUUGAGAAGAGUUGGUAGGAGAAAAUACAGUUAGGAGUCAGACGCUAUUAUUUAGGUCAACGAUGGUGGCUUGAAUGAGUGUCAUAGUGAACAUGGUUAUGACAAGUAGAUAAGGUUGAGAGUAGAGCUGACCAAAGUUUUUAAACAGGUUAGAUGUGGGACUCAGAAGAGUGGAUUCAAAGAUUAUUUUCCAUCAAUACAAAUGAGGGAAAUGAGAUGGACAAGAUUGGAAGGAAGAUUCGGUGUUAAGUUUUAGAUAUAUUAAAUUUAAGAUGUGUGGUAGAUAUAUGAAGGUAUUUGCCAACAAGGUAGAUGUAUAAAUCUGGAAUUCUGAAGAGAGGUCUGGUCUGCAUAUUUAGACUGGGAAGUCACUGGCAUUUAGUGGGUAUUUGAAGCUACGAGGAUAGAUGAGAUCAUGUAAGGAGUGCAUGUAGGUUUCCCAAAAUUGAAAGGUUGGGGAGGAGACUUGAAGUUAGAAAGGAACAUGAGAAACAAUUUGUGAAGUAGAAAGAAAAGAAAGGGAGUGGAAAACUAUUGAAGAAAGUGUGUCAAGGAGGAGAAGAGAUCAACUGUGUCCAAUGCUGUUGAUAGGUCCAGCAAGCUAAGGACUAAGAAGUAGAUCCUAUGGGUCAUUAAUACCCCUUAAAAAAGUAAAAUGCUAUAUUCUUAAGUAUUAUGAAGGAAUUUUCAUUUUAAAGAAGAAUUUGAAAAAAAUAUGCUUUAGAUAAAUGUUAAAGAGAACACAUUAGCAGUGUAACUUCAGAAAAAAAUGUACCUAUUUGGAACCAAUAUAUAUUUAGACAUUUUAAAUAACAAUGCGAAGCACAAUAAUAUAGGUUACUUUACACAAUGAUUCUUUUUUAUUAUCUCAAAUUCUUUUUUUUAAUAUUUUUUAGUUGUUGAUGGACUUUUAUUUUAUUUAUUUGUAUGUGGUGCUGAGAAUUGAACCCAGUGCCUCAUGCAUGCUAGGCAAGCACACUGUCACUGAGCCACAAUGCCAGCCUCUAUUGUCUCCAAUUCUUAAUAUGAAAAGAAGACUUCAGUAAAUUGACAACCUACACUUAGACGUAUACUUUAAGUCACUCUACCUCUGUCUCUAUUUAGCCCAUUAACUUACCCCUCUAUUUUUGCAUAUACUUUCAGUAUUUGUUAUCACAUAUAUCAGCAAAUAAACAUUCUGAUUUCUAAUUUCUUAUUGAAUGGAUAGAGUACUACAAACAUAUAAGUAUUCAUAUUUUGUUCCUUUAUUAAAUGAUAUAAUCUAAAGCUUUCCACAUAGGAAUAAAAAGACUGUCUUCUUUCUUUAUGGCUAAUGUUUCAUUGAAUAGAUGACAUUAUAGUAUAUUUAAACAGUUGUAUUUUGAUGACCAUUUGGAUAUUUUUUUGAACUUCAACAUCAGAUGAUUGUAUAACUGUACAUAUUUCACACGUUCAGCAUAUGUAUAGGACAAAUUCUCUGAUUGCCUACUUGGAAUUCUUUUAAUUUUAGAUGCGUUGUCAAAUUAACCUGUAGGGGUUGUACUAGUUUGUAAUAUCAGCAAAAUAUACAAAUACCUAUUACCUUAAGCCUUAAUGUAUCAUCAAACUUUUGGACUGUUGCCAUUAUGAUAGAUGAAAAAUGAUAUCUGUGAUGGUUGAGAUUGAGUGCUUUUGUAUUAUAUUUAAGGGUAAUUUGCAUUUUUUCCUUGUGAGCCUUCUAAUUGUAUCCUUUAUAUAUUUUUUCUAUUGGAUUUUUCAUGCUUUUAUUCUGGAUAUUAAGAGUCUUUUUAUAUAUUAAGAAAUGAACCCUUGACUGUGACAUGAGUUGUAAAUAUAUAUUUUUUAGCUUCUGAUUUUAAUGUUUCUUCCAUGCAGAGGUUUAUUUUAAAUGCAGGUGUGUGCAUUUGAAUUAUAUUUUUAUUUUGUAGCUUAUAGAUUUUAAGCCACAGAUUAGUUUCAAGAUCAUAAAAGAACUUGAUAUAUUUUCUUCUAGUACAUUUCUGAUUCAUUGGCAUUUCUCCUGGUAUGUGGUAUGAAGACAAUUUGAUUUUUUCCCCAGAUGACUCAGCUUCAUUUAUUUAAAAGUUUAUCUUCCUGCCAAAGACUUGAGAUUUUAUCUUUAUUGUACAUCAAAUUUGCACGUGUUUAGAUCUAUUUUUGUACUUCCUGUUCUGUUCUAUUGAUCUGACCACAUCAUACUAUAUCACUGCUUUAAUUAUUGGGGCUUUAGUGGAAGUUUUAAUUUCUGGUCUACUAUAAUUCUCUGAUUUCAGAGUUUUUAUGUCUACCUACCAUACUUUGAAUACUUGUGGGAAUAUUUUGUACUUAUAAAAUAAAAAAAAAUAAGCUUAGAGAAUUUCUUAUUUUGUGGUUAUUUAAAUUCAUAUAGUUUUCCAUUUAUUCCCUAAGUACUCACUGAGCACCUACUGUAUGCUUAGCACAUUUGUGUGGAUUUGAGAACAUCAGCAAAGAGAAAAAAACUUCGGCUUUCUUGUACCUUUGUAGUCACACACAUUCAUCCUUAGUCUUUCAAGAUAAAGUUCUAUGUGAUUUAGUCUUCACAUCAUCUGAGAUUGCAUUGGUACAGAGCAUCAUUUUUGCCUUCUCAAUAUUUUGUAAGGAAAAAAAAUCUCCAAAACUCUGUGUAACAAUAUUUAUAAUAAAUUAUCUUGCAACCAGAAUAGUCAAGAAUAUGCAGAGUAGGAAGAAAUAAGAGUAUGCAGAAGAAAAGCAUUAUACCCAAGCAAUUUCUUGGUUUUCCAUGUACAUUCUUUGAAAUUAAGUGUCUAUUUAGGAUCAUCAAUUUCCAGUACUGUGACUACAGGGCAUUUAAGCAGUUGACAAAACCAAGAAAUGAUUGUUCCUGCACUAUGUUAAGUUUCAAAAUGUUGACUUUAGACUGCUAAUAGCAAUAAAACUAUAUUUUUUGGUUAAAAUUUAAGAUUUAUAUCAAUUCCCACAAGAUAAGAUGGGAUAUUCAGUAUCAACCUCAUCUAUGGCUGAAUAUUAACUGCCUAACAUUUGCAUGCAUCAGCAAAUUGGUUCUCAAGUUUUGCAUCUGCCUACAAUCAUCUGAAAGGCUUGCUAAACCAUAGAUUGCUGGGUUCUACCCUAGGACUGAUGGUUGAGAAAGUUGGGAAUGGGGUACAAGAAUUUCCAUCUUUAAGGGGUACAGGAGGUUGAUCAGGAGCACUUGACCACUGAGCCACUAUUUUGUAUUUUAUUAAAAAACAGGGUAUCACUGAGUUGCUUAGGACCUUGCUUUCUUUUUGCUGAGGCUGGCUUUUGACUCGCGAUCUUCCUUUGUCUAAGCCUCCUGAUCUGCUGGGAUUACAGGUAAGUACCACCACAAUGGGCUAAAGAAUUUCCAUUACUGACAUGUUCUAAGAUGAUAUUAAUAUUGCUGAUGUGGGUUCACUCUUUGAGGACCAUUGAUAUAUACUAUAAAAAUGAUUUAGCAUUUUACUUCUUCACUUUUAUUUUAUUGGAAGCAGAUACAAUUCAAUUUCAGGUUAGUAUAUAGAGACUAGAAAAAAUAUGUGGCACAUUUAGCAUACUUAAUGAAAAAUGAUUGACAUAAUGCAUAAAGAGUUUUAAUAAGCAGUGUUACCACCACAGGCUCAGUUCACUUGCUACAUAACUAAAGUCAAUUAGUUGAACAAUGCAGUGGCGUUAUUAUGAAGACCUAAUUGAUGAGAAGAUGGAGGACCAUCAUCCUAAAUGGUACGUGUUGCCAGAAAGCUGAUUUAGGGAUGGUUUCUAUAGGAGAUGGAUGAUGGCAGACUGUGGGUGGAGGUUUGUGGCUAAUUGAAGUACAAUAGAUCCUAAUAAGGUCAUGAGAUGCUUUUCAGUUCUGCAAACUUCAAGAACAAAGGUAAUUAUUUCCUUAGGUACUCUUGUCACUGAUUAAUUUGCCUAUGUUCAAUUCCUGACAUAUUAAACAAUGGACAGGCUAGAGGAGGCAGCUGCCCCAAGGCAACACUUCUCUGGAUUAUUGGGGAAGACAAGGGUCAGCAAGCAUUUUCCCACUCCACCCCAUGGCAACCUGCAGAGCAUCAGCAAGCUUGGCUGGUUUGGACCCUCUUUCCCAAGGCCUGCAGGUGACUCCAGCUGUUCCUCUUGCCAUGUGGAACUGAAGAAACUGAACUAAGUCUGGACCAAGAAAAACCAAAAAAACAAACAAAAAAAAAACCUGUCCUAUUCACUACUGAGUCAAAAUACAGCUUGAGACACGAGAUGCCAGAAGCAAAUAUUUUGAAAUAUCUGAAAGCAAAGGUUAAACAUGUUGAUAAUAACACACAAUUUGGGCUUUGCUUCCCAAUUCCAUUUUCUGAUUUAAAGAUUGUCUUGUUCUCUGUGCAAAUAUUUGUUGACUUGGAAACUGAUAGAGUUGAAAUCAACAGAGAUGAAAUAAACCUUUGUCUGUGACCUUACUCUUUGGCUUAUAUUCAUUAAAAUGAUAAAAUGGAAUGAAGUAA